rnacentral:lncRNA from 1 species
AAUUUAGCUAUUACUAAUAUUAUUUUAUUAAAUGUUUCAGAAAAUAAAUUAGAAUUACAUUUUCAAUAUACACCUUUUAAAUACUUUAAAGUUAAACAGCAAGGGAAACAUGACGGACAAAGAUUCAGAGUUUGGAGGUCUUGGCUCAGUGAGUGGAAAGAUUGAAAUAGAGAUCAAAAUUAAUCAUGAAGGAGAGGUUAACAGAGGUUAUGCCUCAAAACCCAUGUAUAAACCAGAAUGACUUCAAAUCAGGGUUGUAGCUAGGAUGAUUUCAGUGGUGGGUGGUAAAAACUAGUAUAGCCAGCCCAUAGAUGCACAUGCCUGCGGUGGCUGCCAUCAUACUUGAAUCCCUCAGAUGCAAAAAAAAGUUCAUUCAUGGAGACCACACAGCAAAGAUCUCAGAUUUUUCAUGGAACCCUAAUGAACCUUGGGUUAUAUGUACAGUUUAUAAAGAUAAUAUAAUGCAAGUUUGGCUGAGAAUAUUUAUAAUGAUGAGGAGCCAGAAAUGUCAGCAUCAGAGCUAGAAGCAUCCAUGUCUUGAAGUAUGUAAAAUCAUCAUUACUGUUUGGGAAAAGUGAUACUAUGACUUUUCUUCAAAAGAGUUUCAGUGAUGGACAAAUCUUGUGAAGUGAAGUUACUCCUGUUGUUGACUUUUAAAUCUUAAAUAAAUGGGUUACAACAUGAA